AUUGCCCCAGUAACGGCGAGUGAAGCGGCAACAGCUCAAAUUUGAAAUCUGGCCCCCAGGGCCCGAGUUGUAAUUUGCAGAGGAUGCUUUUGGCGAGGCGCCUUCCGAGUUCCCUGGAACGGGACGCCACAGAGGGUGAGAGCCCCGUCUGGUCGGCCGCCGAGCCUCUGUAAAGCUCCUUCGACGAGUCGAGUAGUUUGGGAAUGCUGCUCUAAAUGGGAGGUAUAUGUCUUCUAAAGCUAAAUACCGGCCAGAGACCGAUAGCGCACAAGUAGAGUGAUCGAAAGAUGAAAAGCACUUUGAAAAGAGGGUUAAACAGUACGUGAAAUUGUUGAAAGGGAAGCGCUCACGACCAGACUUGGCCGCGGCGAAUCACCCGGCGUUCUCNGCCGGUGCACUUCGCCGGGGNCCAGGCCAGCAUCGGUUCGCGCCGGGGGACAAAGGCUUCGGGAAUGUGGCUCCCCAGGGAGUGUUAUAGCCCGCUGCGCAAUGCCCCGGCGCGGACCGAGGUUCGCGCAUCNUGCAAGGAUGCUGGCGUAAUGGUCGUCAGCGACCCGUCUUGAAACACGGACCAAGGAGUCGUCUUCGUAUGCGAGUGUUCGGGUGUCAAACCCCUACGCGUAAUGAAAGUGAACGCAGGUGAGAGCUUCGGCGCAUCAUCGACCGAUCCUGAUGUUCUCGGAUGGAUUUGAGUAGGAGCAUACGGGGCCGGACCCGAAAGAAGGUGAACUAUGCCUGUAUAGGGUGAAGCCAGAGGAAACUCUGGUGGAGGCUCGCAGCGGUUCUGACGUGCAAAUCGAUCGUCAAAUAUGGGCAUGGGGGCGAAAGACUAAUCGA
rnacentral:rRNA from 1 species